GACGAACGCUGGCGGCGUGCCUAAUACAUGCAAGUCGAACGAGAGCGACCGGUGCUUGCACUGGUCAAUCUAGUGGCGAACGGGUGAGUAACACGUGGGUAACCUGCCCAUCAGAGGGGGAUAACAUCCGGAAACGGAUGCUAAAACCGCAUAGGUCUUCGAGCCGCAUGGCUUGAAGAGGAAAAGAGGCGCAAGCUUCUGCUGAUGGAUGGACCCGCGGUGCAUUAGCUAGUUGGUGAGGUAACGGCUCACCAAGGCCGUGAUGCAUGGCCGACCUGAGAGGGUGAUCGGCCACAUUGGGACUGAGACACGGCCCAAACUCCUACGGGAGGCAGCAGUAGGGAAUCUUCCGCAAUGGACGCAAGUCUGACGGAGCAACGCCGCGUGAGUGAAGAAGGUUUUCGGAUCGUAAAACUCUGUUGUUAGAGAAGAACAAGUGCUAGAGUAACUGUUAGCGCCCUGACGGUAUCUAACCAGAAAGCCACGGCUAACUACGUG
rnacentral:rRNA from 1 species